UACGUAGGUGGCGAGCGUUGUCCGGAAUUACUGGGUAUAAAGCGCGUGUAGGCGGCAGGCCAAGUCGGUGGUGAAAGCGCCCGGCUCAACUGGGCGAGGUCCAUGGAAACUGGUCAGCUGGAGGACGGUAGAGGCGAGUGGAAUUCCCGGUGUAGUGGUGAAAUGCGUAGAGAUCGGGAGGAACACCUGUGGCGAAGGCGGUUCUCUGGGCCUUACCUGACGCUGAGGAGCGAAAAGCGUGGGGGAGCGAACAGG
rnacentral:rRNA from 1 species